rnacentral:rRNA from 1 species
AAUGAACGCUGGCGGCGUGCUUUACACAUGCAAGUCGAGCGAGGCGGGUAGCAAUACCCAGUCGAGCGGCGAACGGGUGAGUAAUGCAUCGGAACAUGUCCAUGUCGUGGGGGAUAGCCCGGCGAAAGCCGGAUUAAUACCGCAUACGCCCGAGAGGGGAAGGUAGGGGACCGCAAGGCCUCACGCGAUUGGGUUGGCCGAUGUCCGAUUAGCUAGUUGGCGGGGUAAUGGCCCACCAAGGCGAUGAUCGGUAGCUGGUCUGAGAGGAUGAUCAGCCACACUGGGACUGAGACACGGCCCAGACUCCUACGGGAGGCAGCAGUGGGGAAUUUUGGACAAUGGGGGCAACCCUGAUCCAGCCAUUCCGCGUGAGUGAAGAAGGCCUCGGUUGUAAG